CUCUCUCUCUGCCCCUCCCCUGCUCGUGCUCUGUCCCUCUCUGUCUCUUAAAAGAUAAAAUAAAACAUUAAAAAAUUAAAAAAAAAAGAGUAGUUUGGAAAAAUCAGUCUUAUAAACCCUCCAUUGUUGUGUUUCAGGGUUGGACGUAUCCUUAUUCCCUCUUCAAUUUCUUUCUCGGUGGAAAAUGUCUCAAAAGAACAGCAAAUUGAGUUGUUGGUAUUGGGGCUUGUCAUAUAAAAAAGGGAAAGGAAAUUAGGGUCCUGUCUCUCUCUUCAUGACUGUGCCAUUUAGGAAUUUUGCUUAUUAAAUGGGCCUUUCUUCUAUGCCCGCAGAAACUGUAGGGCUACGUUACUUUAUCAUUCUCCUGUGCCAUCUUUCCCAUCUCCCUUUGUCUCCUCCCUUUCAAAAUGGUUUGGUCAGGAGACACUGAGAUACUGCUCUAUUUCUCAUAGCACACAGAGGAAUUUCUGAAGCUCUAAGAAAAUCCUAACCUAGCUAAUUUUUAGAAACAGCAGAAAAGAUGCAUGGAACAUCAUUGGGCACAGCCAAAUGAUUUAAAUGAAAUAACUCUGAGUUUACAAUUUUCAAGAAGUAGGCUUUCAUUGGCUUUGGUGUCUGCUUCUCCCUGUACGUUUGCAUUUUGAGAAAGAGUCAGAAUAUGGAAAUGAGAGGGCCUAUUUCAAUGAGGAAAACAUUUAACUAUCAGUAAAAGGAAAAAAAAAAAACUAAACAAACCCGACUACAAUGGUUUAAAUAAAUAAGGAUUGUUUUUCUCUCAAAAAGGAAGUCUGGAGAUAGUCCAUUGCUGGUGUUGGUUUAGAGGUUUGAUGAUACCAGGGCUAAGGCCAUGGGGAUGUCUUGGCAAGUCCCUCAUGGUUGUCACAUGGCUGUUCAGGCCAUCAUGUCUUCACUCAAGAAAGGGAAAAUGCAGAAGGGACAAAAAGGUGGUACAAUAGUCCCCCCCCCCCCUUAAUCUGCAGUUUUUCUUUCUGUAUUUCAGUUACCUGUGGUCAACCACAGUCUGGAAGCAGAUGUUUCUCCUUCUGAUGGAUUUUUAUCAUCUCUCAUCAACACAAGAAGAAGCAGAAGGGUGGAAGCCAGUCCCAGUGUGAAGCAGACUCAGAAGCCUAUAGCUUUGGGGCACAUCAGGAAAGGCAGUCCCCUAGGGAUCAAUCAGAGGAGAAGCUCGGCUCCUCUACAAAUCAACCUGACUCAAAACCCUCACAGGGAAAUUGCUCACUCCUUCAGUGCAUCAUCGUAGGGCCCAUUAUAAAGAGUAACGAAAAAAGGACUCUGCCAGAACCCCAGAGCAUGCUGGAGGUUGUGAGAAGGACCAGGUAAUGUUUAAACUGAUUGUGGAGAGGCUGGCUUUCCAUCAGAAAGGCUUUGCAGGAGUGCGGAGAGUGGGUGGAACAGCCAGGCAUUUUCUCCAUCCAGGAGGCACUCUGGCACUCUCUGAGCCCGUCCGUCCACAACUCUGUAACUCAUUGCUUUCCUCAGCACCAGUGGCUUCUUCACCCCAGGAUCAGAAUGUCCAUCACCAUAGCAACCUCAAUAAUGGCUUCAAAUGAGAUCUUUUCGAUCCUCAAGGAUGCUGAUGUACAUUUUCUUUCUUUUCUCUCUCUCUCUUCUUCCUUUCCUUUCCUUCCCUUCUCUUUCUUUCCCUUCCCACUCUCUCUCCCUUUGUCUUUCCUUCUUCUCUGCGAGGCAGGGCAGGGCAGUGGUGGAAGGGUAAUGAAAGUCAGGGCUGAAAUUAGCUGUUGAAGUUGCUACUCCAACAAGAAAUGGCACAUGCCUCGAGGCAGAGGAUGAACAGAUGGUGUGUAACUUGUACUCUCAGCCUCUUGAAGCAUCUGCCCUCACACAGAUUCUCAGAUCCUCUCAUAAGGAGAAGGGGAUUUGCAUUAUGGCUACAGGAAAUGAGAGAAAUGGGAUUGCUCUCCUAGGUAGAAUUUUGAUACAUAAACAAGAAAAUAAGAAGACCGUUUUUCUCUUAUUGCUCUCUCUUGUGCUUGCUCGUUUUUCAGAAGCAGUCUGCUUUAUGUGGAAAGAUUCGACAAUUCAAUAAAUCCAGCAAACUUU